ACUCCCUCCUCAUGCUCCCCCCCUCCCCGUACUCAUACUCUUGCAAGUUUUUACUCUCUUCUUCUUCAUCAUCGUUGGUCAAUUGUUUCUAGCUCUAUUUUUGGAUGAGCUUCUCCCGGUUUGACUUAAAAUCCUCCUUUCUCUCUUUCUAAAUCUACCAACAAAUGUAACUAGCAGAUUUAUUUUAGGUUUGAUUUUUUUUUUCAUCAGAUUUAUCUAAUUUGUUUUUGAUUUCGUGAUUGAUGGUUAAUAAUUAUAAACGGGUGAAACUUGUUCUCGCAUAGUUCGUAUGAGGAAGCUGAUUUGGGUGAUUUGGACAGGAAGAGAUGGUUAAUGCUGAGAAGAAGAAGUGAUGAAACAAUUUAUUGAUGGUUUCUCGAAUCAGUUGAUUGUAGAUCUGCAGGUGAAGAAGAAAUGGGUUUAUGAAGAAAGAAGAUGGUUGAAUGAAGAAAUUGCAGCAGAUUCAUGAAAAGCUAGGGUUUGGUGGUAAUGAACAGAUGAAUGGAAAAUGGGUUUUAGGUUGAUUUUAGUUUGAACUCGAGCGUGAAAAUCAAGAGCUGUUUGUGGUGGUUGUGUUCAAGAGACUCAGGAGGAACCAAAACAGCUGUUUAAAUGGUUUUCUUGAGGUGGAUUUGGAUUUGAGAUAAGCAUAAGGGUUAGAUGAAUGUAAGUACAGGGAUGAAGCAGUUAUGUUUGGUGGUUCUGGUUUGUGAUGAAUCCAGAAAUGCGGGAAUACAUUGCAACUGGUUUGGUUGUAGCUGAAGAGGAAGUUGCAGGUGCAGGGUCAGAUGCAGUUGGAGUUGUUCUGUUCUGGAUGCUACAGGGAAGAAGGUCUGGAGAUUGUAUGGCUAAGGUGUUAAGAAUGGAUGUAGUAGUGAAUGAAUGGGUUAAAGGAUAUUGAUGGAGAAUUUGUGUAAGCAGCUGAACUGUAAUAUGCAGUGACUGAAAUGGUGCAGUGUCGCUCCUUAUAUCAGUAAGAACUUAGUUCAAUAGAACAAGAUAACCUUUUUCUUUUUCAUUGCCAACCAUUAUAUUUAUUUAUGCUUUUGUGAUUAUUUGUAAUGAUUGUACAACCAGCUGCAGAAGGGAUAUAUAUUUCUUUAAGAAAUGCUUGGUCUGAAUGGAUACAUAUUUCUUUCACUAAUAUAUUCAUCUGAAUGUAUGAAGUAUUUGAUUUUCUUGCAAUCGCUGUAAGUAGGUUAGCUUGUUCUUUGUUAUGUUUUUGGUUGAUGAUGUCGUGAGUGGCUUUCACUCAUUGCUUUUGGUUAGAAGAGUUUUUGGCUUUAAUUGAUUGUGUUUUGCAGAUAAGGGAAACCAACGAAGAACUGAGAUAUUCUAACUGUUGGCAACUACCAUUACAUGGAUCUAUAAAAGUUGAGGUUAGAUAAUUCAUAUUGAGAUACUUCAUAUGACUGAGCCUCAUCCAGAAGGAAAAGGUACUGUUCUUUGUAUAGAGAAGGCCUUAGCUCAAUUUGGGGUUUCCCGAGAAGAUGUCAACUACGUGAACGCUCAUGCAACAUCAACACAAGCUGGUGACUUGAAGGAGUACUAAUCUAUCAUCCGUUGUUUUGGCCAAAAUCCCGAUUUGAGAGUGAAUUCCACUAAGUCCAUGAUCGGUCACCUAUUAGGAGCAGCUGGUGUUGUGUUGUUGCACUGGUGCAGGCAAUACGGACGGUUGGGUCCAUCCAAAUGUCAAUCUUGAAAACCCUGAGGCAGGCGUGGCUUUUGGAUCUCAAGUUUUGUAUUGCAGCAACAAAAGUAGACUUGAUCCAGCAUAAGUGAGUAUUAAUGGAGGUGCUGUGCCCAUUGUGGGUGUCCUCUUAGUACACAGGUUAUACAUUACGAGCUUCCUAGCACUUCAGAGAUCUUUCACAUAGCUCUGGUAGAACAAGAUGUGAUGGAAAGAUGGUGAUAAUGAAGCCGUAUUAAAUAAAUACUCUUUUGAUGCAGAACCAAUAAUGCAGUGAAAGGAGUGAUUCAUACUCCCUGCUGACAGGUAUCUAUUAUACUGAAAACAUAAAAUUAGAACCUAUAUAUGAUAGCUUAUAUCAUCUCUGUAAUUCUCUAGAAUUUGAACUAGUGUGAACU